rnacentral:rRNA from 1 species
UUGAACGCUGGCGGCAGGCCUAACACAUGCAAGUCGAGCGGUAGCACAGAGAGCUUGCUCUCGGGUGACGAGCGGCGGACGGGUGAGUAAUGUCUGGGAAACUGCCUGAUGGAGGGGGAUAACUACUGGAAACGGUAGCUAAUACCGCAUAAUGUCGCAAGACCAAAGUGGGGGACCUUCGGGCCUCAUGCCAUCAGAUGUGCCCAGAUGGGAUUAGCUAGUAGGUGGGGUAACGGCUCACCUAGGCGACGAUCCCUAGCUGGUCUGAGAGGAUGACCAGCCACACUGGAACUGAGACACGGUCCAGACUCCUACGGGAGGCAGCAGUGGGGAAUAUUGCACAAUGGGCGCAAGCCUGAUGCAGCCAUGCCGCGUGUGUGAAGAAGGCCUUCGGGUUGUAAAGCACUUUCAGCGGGGAGGAAGGCGUUAAGGUUAAUAACCUUGGCGAUUGACGUUACCCGCAGAAGAAGCACCGGCUAACUCCGUGCCAGCAGCCGCGGUAAUACGGAGGGUGCAAGCGUUAAUCGGAAUUACUGGGCGUAAAGCGCACGCAGGCGGUCUGUCAAGUCGGAUGUGAAAUCCCCGGGCUCAACCUGGGAACUGCAUUCGAAACUGGCAGGCUAGAGUCUUGUAGAGGGGGGUAGAAUUCCAGGUGUAGCGGUGAAAUGCGUAGAGAUCUGGAGGAAUACCGGUGGCGAAGGCGGCCCCCUGGACAAAGACUGACGCUCAGGUGCGAAAGCGUGGGGAGCAAACAGGAUUAGAUACCCUGGUAGUCCACGCCGUAAACGAUGUCGAUUUGGAGGUUAUGCCCUUGAGGCGUGGCUUCCGGAGCUAACGCGUUAAAUCGACCGCCUGGGGAGUACGGCCGCAAGGUUAAAACUCAAAUGAAUUGACGGGGGCCCGCACAAGCGGUGGAGCAUGUGGUUUAAUUCGAUGCAACGCGAAGAACCUUACCUGGUCUUGACAUCCACAGAACUUUCCAGAGAUGGAUUGGUGCCUUCGGGAACUGUGAGACAGGUGCUGCAUGGCUGUCGUCAGCUCGUGUUGUGAAAUGUUGGGUUAAGUCCCGCAACGAGCGCAACCCUUAUCCUUUGUUGCCAGCGGUCCGGCCGGGAACUCAAAGGAGACUGCCAGUGAUAAACUGGAGGAAGGUGGGGAUGACGUCAAGUCAUCAUGGCCCUUACGACCAGGGCUACACACGUGCUACAAUGGCAUAUACAAAGAGAAGCGACCUCGCGAGAGCAAGCGGACCUCAUAAAGUAUGUCGUAGUCCGGAUUGGAGUCUGCAACUCGACUCCAUGAAGUCGGAAUCGCUAGUAAUCGUAGAUCAGAAUGCUACGGUGAAUACGUUCCCGGGCCUUGUACACACCGCCCGUCACACCAUGGGAGUGGGUUGCAAAAGAAGUAGGUAGCUUAACCUUCGGGAGGGCGCUUACCACUUUGUGAUUCAUGACUGGGGUG